GUUAAUAAUGAAAUCUUAUUUAAUGAUCAAUCUAAAAUUCAAAAAUAAUAAUAAAUUUAUUAAUUUUAAAGAAGAAAUAAUCUUAAAUAAUAACUUAUUCUAAUACUUCUAUCCACUAAUACAGUAAAGUAAUCAGACAUUAAUAUCAUGAAAGAGAAUUGAAAGUCACUAGUACAGGAUACUGUUUUGCUAUAUUUUGAUUUGCCUCUGGACAAAAGUUUUUAGUAGUAACUUUUUACAAGUUCUGUACUUGGCUUAUUUAGAUACAUUCAUACAACUUACAAAAUGUUAUUCACAACUGUUUAUACCUACAAUCAUAUUUCAUUAAUCAAUCAGCAAUAAUAGCAGCUAAGUUUUUUUUUAUUUUAAAAUUACAAAUGUGAAACUUUGGAAAAUACAGAUUUGAAAAAUUUUUGUUUAAUAAUCCUACAUGUGCUAUCAUAAAUUUCAUUAAAGGAUAAAGUUAUAAUUUAAAUUUAAUUUUCAGACACCUUGUAUUUAGUAAGAUUCUGAUUGAGUUAGUAAAGUGGAUGACUAAUGAGAAAGUGAGGGAUAUGCAAUAUAGCUUCAGGAAUGAAAGAGAAUAUAUUGAUUAAAUUUCUCAUUGCAUAUGAUUGUGAAGAAAUAUCUUAAUAUGAAGAAGAUAUUCUUGAUAUUUUUGGAUCUUUAGAAAUAUUUAAUUAAGUGAAUAAAAGUAAACUUGGCUUGUAUGUAUUCAUUAUAUUUAAUAGAAUAAAAUAAGGAUACAAUAAAUAAUGAUACUAAAUCAACUAGGCUUUAAGAGAAUAACAAGCACUUUCAUUCUUAACAUAGAGACCAUCUUCCAUUUGAUGAAAAAACAGAAUGACAUAGAAUGAUACCAAUCAGCAGUAGUGAUGGGGAAGACCUUAAUAAAUGGGAAACCAGAACAAGUGGACAAGGGAGAGUGGGGAAAAAGCAAAAAAUUUAGCAAAACAAAACUGUGCAGAUGAAAACUAAAGAAUGAAUAGAAUUGUUAUGAUAAAGAAAAUGGAUAGCUAAUAGUAAGAGGGAAAAGGAGCAGACCUAUUGCAAAGAUAAAGAAAAGUGAAGUGUUAUACAGUUGCAAAAGGAAAAAUAGUAAAAAUGAUUGACUUUCAAAAGUAGAAAUAAAACAAGAAGAAAAAUUAUUAUAAAUGGGAAGGAAGAUGAAAAAAUAAAUAAAGGAUUAAUGUUAGAGGAUAGUUUUUUAUCUAGAUUCAAAAAAUACUUUUAAAUCUAAAUAAAACACUAUUGUGGCAGACUAAAGUUGCAGUAUCAAAAUGGAAAGGCUGCUGAAUGUAUGGGAAUGUUUUAUUUUUAAAGCUUCUGUGAAAUUUAAAGAGUUAACUAGGGUAUUAGACAUUAUAACUUUUUCAUCCUCUCAAGUAGGAGAGUACUUGUUGAUAAGUACUUUUUUUUUGGAUAAAGGAGGAGUAAUAAUAUUCUCUUUGGAUAUUAGAAGCAUAUUCUGCAAUAUGAGUUCCUAAGUUUCUGACUAUGAUACUAAUG
rnacentral:lncRNA from 1 species